rnacentral:rRNA from 1 species
UACGUAGGUGGCAAGCGUUGUCCGGAUUUACUGGGUGUAAAGGGCGUGUAGCCGGGUUGACAAGUCAGAUGUGAAAUCCUGCGGCUUAACCGCAGAACUGCAUUUGAAACUGUUGAUCUUGAGUACUGGAGAGGCAGACGGAAUUCCUAGUGUAGCGGUGAAAUGCGUAGAUAUUAGGAGGAACACCAGUGGCGAAGGCGGUCUGCUGGACCGUAACUGACGUUGAGGCUCGAAAGCGUGGGGAGCAAACAGG